rnacentral:lncRNA from 1 species
AUAUCGAAAGAAGGUGGUCGUUGGGUUGACGGUUCGAUUUCAAAGGUUUGAGUGCUCACCAUUUAGUUUACAAUUUGAAACUUGAAAUGAGACGUAUAGAAAACAUCAUGCUAUCAGCUAUGUAUAUGUACAAUUGUAAAGUCACUAUAAAAUUGUAUUCUGAGGAAAAAAACUAAAAAAUCGUAAUUUAAAACAACAAAACCAGGCGACCCGGCCAACCCAACCGAAGGUUUCCCUUAUUUUGAAACCAACCAACCAAACCUUAAACACCCAUAACACAGGUUGCCUGUUGUGGCACUAAUGAUCAUAGCUCAUCAGCCACACCAUCAUCGUCGUUAGGUUUGGCUCAUGUAAACAAACUUGACAGAAAAA